rnacentral:rRNA from 1 species
GAUGAACGCUAGCGGGAGGCUUAACACAUGCAAGUCGAGCGGGAUCCCCUUCGGGGUGAGAGCGGCGCACGGGUGCGUAACGCGUAUGCAACCUGCCUUAUACAGGGGGAUAGCCCAUGGAAACGUGGAUUAAUAUCCCAUAGGAUGAUAGGUCCGCAUGGAUUUAUGAUUAAAACUGAGGUGGUAUAAGAUGGGCAUGCGUCUGAUUAGGUAGUUGGUAGGGUAACGGCCUACCAAGCCGACGAUCAGUAGGGGUUCUGAGAGGAUUACCCCCCACCACUGGUACGUGAGACACGGACCGACGACUCCUACGGGAGGGCAGCAGUGAGGAAGUAAUUGGUCGAAUAGGGCGGAGAGCCU